GUACUCGCUUUGCUGAUACAUAUACUAAAAUUGGAACGAAAGAGAGAAGAUUAGCAUGGCCCCUGUGCAAGGAUGACACGCAAAAUCAUGAAGCGUUCCACAAUUUU
rnacentral:snRNA from 1 species